UGGGAUGCAGGCCCAGGGAUCUUCUAUUGAAACAAGCCUCCAGUGUUAAUCUCCCCAAAGUUUGAAGGAAGGCAAAAGCAUCUGUUAAAGCAAAGUUUUAUCCGGAAAUAGAGCUUUGAAGGCAUGGGACACAGGUGGAUGCAUUUUGAAUGGAGAAGAUUGGAAGGAAGGAUGGAAGUUGUGAGGCUGCUGGUGUGGACAGUCCCAGGCAGGGGUACCUGGGGGGAAAAGCUGCUGAAAGGCAGUAAGGCAGUAUCAAAACAGGUAUAUGCUGCAUCUUUCAUAAGGUUCC
rnacentral:lncRNA from 1 species